CCAAAGGUUCUUUUCAGAGCCAUAAGCCUUUUCAGAGAAAGGACUG
rfam:Ailuropoda melanoleuca scaffold1884_1, whole genome shotgun sequence.